AACCAGAAGGCGCAAUGAAAGUGAAGGCACGGUCGCCGUGCUGAGGUGAGAGCCGUCCCCGACGGCGCAUCAUCGACCGAUCCCAUCCGCUCCCUCGUGGUGCGGCGGGAUUCGAGUAAGAGUGUACCUGUUGCGACCCGAAAGAUGGUGAACUAUGCCUGAAUAGGGUGAAGCCAGAGGAAACUCUGGUGGAGGCCCGUAGCGAUUCUGACGUGCAAAUCGAUCGUCAAAUUUGGGUAUAGGGGCGAAAGACUAAUCGAACCAUCUAGUAGCUGGUUCCCUCCGAAGUUUCCCUUAGGAUAGCUGUAGCCCGAAGCAGUUUUAUCAGGUAAAGCGAAUGAUUAGAGGUAUCGGGGAAGAAACUUCCUCGACCUAUUCUCAAACUUUAAAUAGGUAAGAAGUCCGACUUGCUCAAUUUGAAGCCGGACACAGAAUGCUGGGUUACUAGUGGGCCAUUUUUGGUAAGCAGAACUGGCGAUGCGGGAUGAACCGAACGCCGAGUUAAGGUGCCAAAGUCGACGCUCAUCARAUCCCACAAA
rnacentral:rRNA from 1 species